UACAGAGGGUGCGAGCGUUGUUCGGAAUUAUUGGGCGUAAAGGGCGCGUAGGCGGUGCGGUAAGUCACCUGUGAAAGCCCCGGGCUCAACCUGGGAAUGCCAUUCGAGACUGCAUAGCUAGGGUGCGGAAGAGGGAAGCGGAAUUUCCGGUGUAGCGGUGAAAUGCGUAGAUAUCGGAAGGAACACCAGUGGCGAAAGCGGCUUCCUGGUCCAGCACCGACGUUCAGGCACGAAAGCGUGGGGAGCAAACAGG
rnacentral:rRNA from 1 species